GCUGAUGGUGACUGUGUCGAAGGCAGCUUGGACCCUCAAGAUCCUCGUUGUCCUAGGUUGAUUCUGACCGGAACAGUUGUUAAAGUCGAAGAUAGUCAAGAAGAGAAGCUGGCGAGAUCUGCUUUGUACGCUAAUCAUCCCGAUAUGGAAAUGUGGGCAGGUGUUCAUGAUUUCUACAUUUCCAAGAUGAACAUUGAGCGUGUCACCUAUUUAGGUAACUUUGGUGGUGCCGAUAUUAUCGAGCCAAGUGAAUAUUUGGCAACUAAGCUUUAAAUAUGCUGUUCGUAUCGUUAUUUUGAUGUGAUAUUUGAUUAAAUACCUGUUAUUAUAAACACA